GACAGAGGGGGCAAGCGUUGCUCGGAAUUACUGGGCGUAAAGGGCGCGUAGGCGGGAUGGCAAGUCGGUCGUGAAAUCCUUCGGCUCAACCGAAGAACGUCGAUCGAUACUGCUGUUCUUGAGGGUUGCAGAGGAGACUGGAAUUCCCGGUGUAGCGGUGAAAUGUGUAGAGAUCGGGAGGAACACCGGUGGCGAAGGCGGCCUGCUGGGCAGUAGCUGACACUGAGGCGCGACAGCGUGGGGAGCAACAGG
rnacentral:rRNA from 1 species